CUGAGCCAAAAUCUAGUGGGGUGCUCAACUGACCGAGCCACCCAGGCACAAACGUCUGACAGCGUGCUCGUGGGCAAAGGCCCCUUUAUGUAAUGGAGAGCCUUGAAUGAACAACGCCCGUACACAGGCUGGAUGCACAUCCCCACCAGCACCUUCAGCCCAGGACCCACCCACAUGUAUGAAAUUAACUCAUCGUAGGGCCUCUUGGGCAAAUGAAUGAAAUAAAUGCUUUUCUCCUA